GACAGAGGGUGCAAACGUUGCUCGGAAUUACUGGGCGUAAAGCGCGUGUAGGCGGGUCGGUGUGUCGGGUGUGAAAUCCCCCAGGCUCAACCUGGGAACUGCAUUCGAAACUGCCUUGCUCGAGUAUGGGAGAGGGGAGUGGAAUUUCCGGUGUAGCGGUGAAAUGCGUAGAUAUCGGAAGGAACAUCAGUGGCGAAGGCGACUUCCUGGACCAAUACUGACGCUCAGGUGCGAAAGCGUGGGGAGCAAACAGG
rnacentral:rRNA from 1 species